rnacentral:lncRNA from 1 species
CGCUCACAACUCCUCACCGGGGCAUCAGGACUUCUCCUCCGCACAUGCCCGAACCACCUCAGCCUCGAUUCUCGCAUCUUCUCAUCCACCGGGGCCANNNNNNNNAGCUCCUAUACGAUGAGUGACGUCCCCGUCAAUCUCUCCGUCCCCCUGAAUCACCGACCCAAGAUAUCUGAUACUGUCCCUCUUGGCGAUGGCCUGAGAUCCAAUCAUCACGUCCCUGCCUAUUUCGCUCGGCUCGGCGCUAAUCUUACACUCCAGGUAUUCUG